CUGCAACUCGCCUGCAUGAACGCGGAGUUGCUAGUAAACGCAGGUCAGCACACUGCGUUGAAUACGUUCCCGGGCCUUGUACACACCGCCCGUCACGUCAUGGAAGUUGGUAAUACUUAAAGUCGCUGGGUGAACCCAUUUAUUUGGGGCACAGGUGCCUAGAGUAGGAUCGAUGACUGGGACGAAGUCGUAACAAGGUAGCUGUACCGGAAGGUGCGGCUGGAUCACCUCCUUUCUAAGGAG
rnacentral:rRNA from 1 species